rnacentral:rRNA from 1 species
GACGAACGCUGGCGGCGUGCCUAAUACAUGCAAGUUGAGCGCUGAAGGUUGGUACUUGUACCAACUGGAUGAGCAGCGAACGGGUGAGUAACGCGUGGGGAAUCUGCCUUUGAGCGGGGGACAACAUUUGGAAACGAAUGCUAAUACCGCAUAAAAACUUUAAACACAAGUUUUAAGUUUGAAAGAUGCAAUUGCAUCACUCAAAGAUGAUCCCGCGUUGUAUUAGCUAGUUGGUGAGGUAAAGGCUCACCAAGGCGAUGAUACAUAGCCGACCUGAGAGGGUGAUCGGCCACAUUGGGACUGAGACACGGCCCAAACUCCUACGGGAGGCAGCAGUAGGGAAUCUUCGGCAAUGGACGAAAGUCUGACCGAGCAGCGCCGCGUGAGUGAAGAAGGUUUUCGGAUCGUAAAACUCUGUUGGUAGAGAAGAACGCUGGUGAGAGUGGAAAGCUCAUCAAGUGACGGUAACUACCCAGAAAGGGACGGCUAACUACGUG